UACGGGGGGGGCAAGCGUUGUUCGGAAUUACUGGGCGUAAAGGGCUCGUAGGCGGCCAACUAAGUCAGACGUGAAAUCCCUCGGCUUAACCGGGGAACUGCGCCUGAUACUGGAUGGCUUGAAUCCGGGAGAGGGAUGCGGAAUUCCAGGUGUAGCGGUGAAAUGCGUAGAUAUCUGGAGGAAUACCGGUGGCGAAGGCGGCAUCCUGGACCAUUACUGACGCUUAAGCGCGAAAGCUAGGGGAGCAAACAGG
rnacentral:rRNA from 1 species